GCGCCCUGGACUGGUCAUCGACAAUCACAGACCAGAAAGUCUGUUCCAGACAAAAUGGCACCACUUCAAACAGUGUAAUCACAGUCUUUCUUUCGCUUCCAGGGACAGCGAGGCUCUCCGGGUUAUGACGGAGAGCCGGGAGUUCCGGGUCAACCCGGUGAACCCGGACCCCCGGGACACCCAACCCAUCCCGGAGGUCUUGGGGCGCAGAUGGCCGGAGUGUUGGAAGGA